AAACUUUCUCUCCUUCAGCUCUGAACUGAAAAUGGAGUUCCUGGACGAAGAUGCGAAGCCCAGGUUCCUCUUCCACUCUCGCGCCAAUACAUCUCCGGCGAUGGAGCUCCAAUCAGAUUCUCAUUCCACCAAGCUAUUUCUCUCAAUCACCCUCCUAAUCUCUUCCAUUUUUCUCAUUCUCUCAAUCGUAUUCGUCCAAUUCGAACCCUUCAGAUCCCUUCUCAUCUGGCUUUCUCUCUCCCUUCUCCUCGGCCCUUUUGCCCCCAUUUCCCUCACCGGUGGCGACAUUCGUGUCGGUCGAGGUCCGAUCCUCGAAAUCCCCGACGACGAACCCGAAGUAGAGGACGAUUCGAAGAAGAAACCUGUUCAAAAGCGCUCAAAGCCGCGUAGAUCUACCGAUGAAAUCGCCGUUGCUUCAAUCGAAGUCGCUGAAAAAUCCUCUGCGAAAAUUGAUAACAGGAAUGGUGUAGGUCAUCGGAGUAGCAAAAAUGGAGUCGAUUUUGCGAUUGAGGAAGCGGAAUGGGACGAUGCGGAAUUAGGGUUUUUGAAGAAGCAAUUAGCGAAACAUCCUGUGGGGAAACCGAGACGGUGGGAGAUAAUUGCUGAGGCGUUUGGUGGAAGGCAUAAAGUGGAGAAUGUGAUUAAAAUGGCUAAGGAAAUGGGAGAGAAGAAAUUAGGCGAUGAGGAUUCAUAUGCUCAAUUUCUGAAGAAUAGGAAACCAAUGGAUAAGAGAAUUGAGAACGUCAAUGAAGAAGCCACCACGGCCGCCGUCGCCGGCGGUUGGAGUUCAGGUGAAGACAUUGCAUUGCUUAAUGCUUUGAAGGCAUUUCCAAAGGAUUCAGCGAUGAGAUGGGAGAAAAUCGCAGCUGCUGUUCCGGGGAAGACGAAGGCAGCUUGUAUGAAGAGAGUUGGGGAAUUGAAAAAGGAUUUUCGAAAUUCUAAAGCUGGUAAUGAAAUUUGAGGGAAUAGAGAUGGAGUUUAUCAAAGAUCAAACAGGGUAGUUGCAAAGGGUAGAGAUUUGGAUUUGAGACUCCCUUAUGGAUUGGAUGAUAUCUUGGACUUCCCACGGAGUUCUAUGUAUGAGAGAACACACCCUCCUAAGAGAGGACUUGCAAAAUAAAGAAAAAGUCUUACAGGGAGAACUCUAGAAUCGAAAAGAGGCAACCAGUUUCAAAUAUAAAGAAAUUGAUUAGAGGGAAUAAGUUGAGGAGGGGGUUGGAAAUGGAAUGUUCACACCUCAGAAGAAACGCACCGUUCCGACGUUACCUCCAAAGCUUUUUAUCCACAUUCAAUCAAACUCCUCUUUCAUUUCCAAAACCCUAAACCAUUCUUCACUCCAUCUCCCGCGAAUUCUCCCCGAUGGGUCUCCUCUCGUGGUGGAAAGGCCAAUCUCCGCCAUCCGACUCCACUUCCAAGCCCCCGCAGCCUCCUCCCAAGAACCUCUCUCAGCCUGCCGAAGUCCCCGGUCUGAAUGGCGCCCUCCAAGUCCCCCGACUAGAUACCUCUGUCACCAUCUUCGAGUUCGGCUCCGUCUCCUCUUCCUCCGAUAAGGUCACUCUCACCGGUUACUGCCCUGUCUCAGACGAAUUCGAGCCCUGCCGCUGGGAGAUUCUGCCGGCAAGCGACUCCAAUGCGCCUCUUUUUCGUGUCGUCUUCUGAGGAUGCUUGAGAAUGUAAGUUAAAUUCAAAGUUUAUAAACGAUUAUUCUAGCAGAGAAAGCUUUGUGAAUUACGACCUUGUUGAGGAGACUUUGGAUUUUCCUUUCGCAUAUAAUUGACUUUUCUUUUUUA